rnacentral:rRNA from 1 species
GAUGAACGCUGGCGGUCUGCUUAACACAUGCAAGUCGAACGGGCUCUUUCGGGAGCUAGUGGCGGACGGGUGAGUAACGCGUGAGAAUCUGCCCUUUGGAGGGGGAUAACGGUUGGAAACGACCGCUAAUACCCCAUGUGCCGAGCGGUAAAAAGUAAUUCGGCAAGGGAUGAGCUCGCGUCGGAUUAGCUAGUUGGUGGGGUAAGAGCCCACCGAGGCGACGGUCCGUAGCUGGUCUGAGAGGAUGACCAGCCACACUGGGACGGAGACACGGCCCAGACUCCUGCGGGAGGCAGCAGUGAGGAAUUUUCCGCAAUGGGCGCAAGCAUGACGGAGCAAGACCGCGUGGGGGAAGACGGUCUGUGGAUUGUAAACCUCUUUUGACAGGGAAGAAGUACUGACGGUACCUGGCGAAUCAGCCUCGGCUAACUCCGUG